rnacentral:rRNA from 1 species
UACAAGCCGAAUUAAGGUGAAACCGCGAAAGGCUCAUUAAAUCAGUUAUGGUUCCUUAGAUCGUACCCACAUUUACUUGGAUAACUGUGGUAAUUCUAGAGCUAAUACAUGCAAACAGAGCUCCGGCCGGAGACGGUAGGAGUGCUUUUAUUAGAUCAAAACCAAUCGGCGUCGGUCCGUUCGCGCGGAUCGCUCGUCGCAUUCACUGGUGACUCUGAAUAACUUUAGGCUGAUCGCACGGUCUAGCACCGGCGACGCAUCUUUCAAAUGUCUGCCUUAUCAACUGUCGAUGGUAGGUUCUGCGCCUACCAUGGUCGUAACGGGUAACGGGGAAUCAGGGUUCGAUUCCGGAGAGGGAGCCUGAGAAACGGCUACCACAUCCAAGGAAGGCAGCAGGCGCGCAAAUUACCCACUCCCGGCACGGGGAGGUAGUGACGAAAAAUAACGGUACGGGACUCAUCCGAGGCCCCGUAAUCGGAAUGAGUACACUUUAAAUCCUUUAACGAGUAUCAAUUGGAGGGCAAGUCUGGUGCCAGCAGCCGCGGUAAUUCCAGCUCCAAUAGCGUAUAUUAAAGUUGUUGCGGUUAAAAAGCUCGUAGUUGAAUCUGUGUCCCGCGCUGUCGGUUCACCGCCCGCGGUGUUUAACUGGCACGUCCGCGGGACGUCCUGCCGGUGGGCCCGUAUCGUGCGUCGCGCGGCAACGUGCGGUCGUACGGCGGCCCGACUCACAAUCCCGCUUCGGUGCUCUUGACUGAGUGUCGAGGUGGGCCGGCACGUUUACUUUGAACAAAUUAGAGUGCUCAAAGCAGGCCGAAAUCACGCCUGAAUACUGUGUGCAUGGAAUAAUGGAACAGGACCUCGGUUCUAUUUUGUUGGUUUUCGGAAUUCCGAGGUAAUGAUUAAUAGGGACAGAUGGGGGCAUUCGUAUUGCGACGUUAGAGGUGAAAUUCUUGGAUCGUCGCAAGACGGACAGAAGCGAAAGCAUUUGCCAAAAAUGUUUUCAUUAAUCAAGAACGAAAGUCAGAGGUUCGAAGGCGAUCAGAUACCGCCCUAGUUCUGACCAUAAACGAUGCCAGCUAGCGAUCCGCUGACGUUCCUCCGAUGACUCGGCGGGCAGCUUCCGGGAAACCAAAGCUUUUGGGUUCCGGGGAAGUAUGGGAAGUAUGGCUGAACCUCCUUCGUGCUAGGGAUUGGGGCUUGCAAUUUUUCCCCAUGAACGAGGAAUUCCCAGUAAGCGCGAGUCAUAAGCUCGCGUUGAUUACGUCCCUGCCCUUUGUACACACCACCCGUCGCUACUACCGAUUGAAUGAUUUAGUGAGGUCUUCGGACCGGUACGCGGCGGCAUUUCGAUGUCGCCGAUGUC